CUUUCUCUCCUCUCACAGAACAGAUCCAUCAGUCAAUGUGACCUCAGACCGAGAGGAAAGAAGCAUGGGAAGCAGCAAAGAGGCGGAAGGAUGCGAAAAUGAGUGGGAGGAUUGUUGGAGAUCCCCCGCCAAACCACCCCUAC
ensembl:ncRNA T23E7.9 ncRNA